ensembl:lncRNA
UUUGCAUCAAUCAGCUGGUAACAUGUUCAGUGAUUUGUAUUAUUGAACUCAAAUAACAUAAUUUCAUUGACUGAGGACCGAGCUGUUAUCUGUAAUGAGCAGGUAUUAGUGGACCUUUGUGUGUGUGUGUGUGUGUGUGUGUGUGUGAAAAUCACAGAGACUACAGGAAGAGAGAAACUCUCCCCCUUCCCUCCCCCUCUGCUCCUCAAACACACACCCGCAGCACGGAAGCAGCGCGGCCGCUCCGGAAAAAGCACACAAACAAAAGUGAAGAGGAAGCUCGCGGCAUCGUAAGCAGGACGCCGAUAGAUUUCCUUCAGAGACAGAUGAAGAGCGGGUGGAUGGAAAGGGAACACGCUGCGGAGAACGUCUCCUCUCCGCCGGCUCGCCCCUCCAUUUCCCUCCCCGAGAUCAAUCUAUUCUCUCUCUCUUUCCUUCUCGCUCUCAGUCCCUCUGCAUUCCUUUCAAGUGCUCCCGAUACCAGCUCCCCAGCAGAACCCGCACACGCAGCCAAACAGGAGCUGCGGUUUGACUAUUCAUGAACGGCAAAGGCACACUAAAAGCUCCAGUGAGACAAAGAGGGGGAGAUGUGUGAAGGACACACUUCUCCCCGGGGAUAAAAAAAAAGCAGCUAAUUUGUUGGAACAUGAAUAAAAGCGGAUCAUUUCGAUCCACAGCAGACCAUCCAAAUAACUCGGUCUUCGCACACUACGGACACGCGAGAAAACGAUCAAACGGCGGCCUUUGCUUGAUCAGAAGAAUUGGAGUAUGUUUUUAUUCAAUGAACAAAAGAUAGAUGAUUUGAAUACUUCUGCUCCCAUGCAGACUGCUUGGCUGGGAACGUGUGCCACCUCCCACACAGACGCCAGCACGAGCCAGUCAGCCGUGUCACUCACUUAUCCGUCAGCCGCGUUCUUCAUCGCAAUCUCUCGUGGGGAAAUUUAGGCAGGAAUGGUUUUGCCGUGCAGAAUACAUAUGAGCCUGUAAAUAUUCAGCCAUUAUAUCUCAUUGUGUGAAGAAGUGGGCAUGUUUGUAUGAAUGCAACUGCACAAAUAAGGACAGAGACGUAUAUUGCAUGAUUGAAUGACGAGGAAAUUCGAGGUUCCAACACUAUUUUCCUUGUCUAGAGUGUGAUGGGGGCCUUAAAUCCAUCCACUCCCACUUCAAGGGUCACAGUUGGACGCUCCUGACAGUGUCCCAAUGAGCCCUGAAACACUGCGUCGCAGAGCAGUUUAAGGGAAAGCCGUGAGAGAGCAAAGCGCCGAUGCAGAAAGUAAGACAGUAAGUGGGGGAUGAGAGUGUGCAUGAUUCAGUGAGAUAGCGGGACCUGCUGUGGGCCACAGCUUCCCCCAGGGACACAUCACGCAUGGGUACAGGGACAGCUUCAGCAAGGGGAUUACAUGGUGUUUUUGGUUGAUUUAGAUCGUUUGGUCCUUAGUAUUUGGACCAAAAAAGGUACAUGUAGAAACUUAAAAGGGAUCCCAGGACGUAGUUGAAGGCAAAGCAGCGCAUGCAUUAUUUAGACGGCACAUUUCAUUCCGAGGGAGAGGUCUUUACCUGUUUUCUUUUCUUUCAUGAAGAAGAUAUAAGCAAAGCAGGACCACUGGAGCAUGUGGGAGCAGCAAGUGCGGAGUUCUGCGGAGUGGGGACCAAGUCCUCUCAAAGCUGCUGUCAGACUGCAGAUCAGCUUCUGCAGAGCUGAAUCUUGACCCGGAGGUACGAAGUCCCGGCUCCCUGAGCGACACUUCACACCAGUACCACGAUUAAUAGUCAUACCAAGCUGCGAGCUGGCAGGAGUGUGGGAGGGAAGUGAUGAAAGAGAAUUUUGAGACGCUGAAGUGUUGCAAUUUGUGAGUACUUGUGAUUACUUGGAGUGCGAGGCUUGCUUGUCUAAAGAAUCUACUGUUCC